GGAAAAUGUCUGUUAUCAAAUCAGGCAUAUAAGAAGACAGCCAUGCCCGUCAGGCCCCGACCCGGCCCGGCUAUAAAUAGCUCCGGCCGGGGGAAGGUGUUUCUCUUUGUGUGGUGAGGUCCUUGGUGAUGGUUAUGGUCUGUCGGGUGUCUGCGAGGCGUUUGCUGCCGACAUGGCUGCGGAGCAAGGAAAAGGCGCUAGGCCCGCCUUCAUGCAGCGGCCCACGUGCAGGUUCCUCAUCCUCGCAAGCGAGGCUGCAGUACUACCGCAGUGCGGUUUGA
rnacentral:lncRNA from 1 species